rnacentral:lncRNA from 1 species
UAUAGAGAGACGCAACCUCGUCCCCUUUUGUCGUCGUCUCCAUCAACGUACUCGAACCCUUUCCUUCUCGCUCUUCAGCUUCUUCAAUACACACACAUCAGAUCCCUUCCCCAUUCGAGAGUGAGCGCAGCUUUUUUCUCUUUCUUCAACCUUCUUCUUCAAAGAAAUGAAGCAGCUGUUACACUCACACACAGCCUCAACAAGGGAGAACGAACAGCCCUAGCAACCUUUGAUCUUCAUCUUCAAAUUUUCGAUUUUCAAACAAAGUUUUCUUCUUCUUUUUACCGUUUUUGAAUUUCAAUUUUAAUUUGAGGUUGGCUCAGAUUUCAGGAAAAAAACGCCAAAGUAGCUCGAGUUUCUCUUCUUAUUCGAUUCUGGUUUCACAAAUGGAUUUCGUGAGAGACCCGUUUGGAGCUGACGAGCUUGGGUGCCGCUCAAGGUUUAACUUCGGAAUUCCUAUCCGAAUUUGCUGCUGUUUUCUCGGACAGGUUUUGUGGAUUGGGAGUUUGUAUCUAUUGAUUCUCAAAACCUUAAUAGAAUUUUGGGACUUAAUAGGUUUAUUCUUCCCCUUUCUUACUUCUACUUUUAGCAUUAAUUUUCAAUAUAAUUUGGAGAAUGGUAUUAUCCUCUGGUUCAAUAAUUGGUUUCCUAUUUGAGAUUGGUCGACUCUUUUGUAUUUUGAUUUAGCUGCCUUCGUAGGAAUUAUCUUUGCUAUAUUGAGUAGCUCAUGGAUAUUGUAGAGGUAUUAUCCUCAAAGCUGAAAGUUGGCUUAGUUUAUGAUUCUCAUGCCUGAUGCUUUACCAUAGUCCCUUAUUUCAACAACAACAACAACUACCCAGUAUAUUCUUAUCAGGAGGGGUGCGGCUUAGUUUAUGUAUCUCAUGCCUGAUGCCUUACUAUAGUCCCUUAUUUCAUUCUUGAAAUUUCAAUUAUAAAAGGAGGUCAUUGUCUUGGAAAAUUUGGAGAAUAUGAUUAUUUUUGUGAAGGUUAAUCAUCUAGCUAAGCAAGACUGUGAGUGUGAGAUUUAAGAGAGCAACAUUAGUGUCCUUUAGUUGGCAGAAGAGGGAUUAGUAGAAUAUCUAAAUAGUUCUUAGCAUAUUUUUAUAUAUUCUCUCUUAUUUCAUUUGUUAGUUAAUGUGCUUUCCUUCAGGUAGUGUUUUGUUGGUCUUCAACGUUUUAGAUGCAACAUGUAUGUUUAUUGAUGAUUGAAAUGUCCUGUGGAGUUGGGAUUUUAGAGAAACGGGAUUGCCAUUCGAGAACUACAUGUUCACUAUUUAUUUUAUUGCUCUAAUUGAGUAGGAGCAUGCUUAGUCUAUCAUAACGCGUUAGAUUUUAUUAGGCGCGACUUUAAUAAAAUUACAUUUCUAAAUAUGGGUGGGCAUUUUAUGCGGCCCAAAUCCAAAUGCUAAAACGUUGAAUAGAGUGUGUCUAGGAUUGCGAGUUCAUUUCAUGCGGCGCAAUCCGAAAACACACUUUAAACGACGUUCACUUUCUCUCAAAUAUAUAUAUAUAUAUUUUAUAAAAGGGGUUAAAGAUAAAAUUGGCACAUAUGCAUUUCAUGUAUUAAAAUCAGAUUUUAGCCAUUCAUACUAAUUUAAGCGACCGUGCUAGAACCACGGGAUCCGAGGGUGCCUAACACCUUCCAUCGGGUACACAAAAUUCCUUAUUCAGAAUUUAUAUCGCAGACUCCAUUCGGGAAGUCGAAGUUUUCCUCGGUUCGGGAUUCAAGCUAAACUGAUGACUUGAGACACCAAAAGCCAAACUUAUCCCAAGUGGCGACUCUGAAAAAUAAUCCCGAUCCGAAUAAUGUCACUUUACAUAGAAAAACUCUCAUAUACAUUAUCCUUCAGGCUAGGUGUGUAAAAAGGAGGUGUGACAACUCUGGAGACUCUGUUGGAAAAAAUAACCCAGAACAUUUUGUUCAGGGUUCAGAAUUCGAGCUUAGAAUAAUUGUUGCGUUUGGAUUUAUUAGAUUUUGUUACAUGAUAUAUGCUUAAUGUGCUAGUUGAUUUCUUUUACCACUUUGAUAUUACAUAUAAACUGUGCCGAACCAAAUCUCCUCUCUGAGUCUUCUGAAUCAUGAAGAAGGGUGUACUUUGUACGACUUCUUUUCUGUAUAGUGUGUAAUUCCCAAUUUAGAACGAGGUGUGGAUAAGUUGCAAAGCCGGCGAAGCUUCUGUAUUCCCCGAUUGCUGCCUCCCCCUCGGUUCGAGUUGUCCGCUCUGGUAAGCCAGGUCUAGAACAAACACCCAGGUUUUGAACCUACAAUAACUCAGCCUCAUGCAGGAUCCCUAGUAGGAACGCUUAUUUUCAUCAUGUGCAUUUUGACUUAAAGGACUCAACAGAGGGAUUGAGUCCGUCUAGAGCUAGCAACCUGAAAUGAAAAGACCAUCCUGAUGCAUUCUGCUUUUUUUCUGUGCAUUUAUUUCAUCGGGCUUGCAUGUUGACCGGCUUUUGAAUCUCGGGGAUGUUAGAAAAUUAAACCAAAAAAGAGAUAAAAAAAACGAAAAAGAGAAACAGAGAAAAAUAGCAAGUCGGAGAGUUAACUGAUUAGUUUAGAAAAACCAAUGCCCAAAUGUUGUCUGAACUCUGCCGAAAUUUUGAAAAUUGGAAGAAAGAAAAAAUGUUUUUUAGUUUGUUUACCAAUAGUAAAAAUGGUUUGAAAAGAUUUUUUCUCUCAAAAUUAGUUAGCUUAUUUGACGGAAUUACGCGGGUCAGAUUCUCAGCGGAUGUGACAUACGUAGGCAAACCUCAUCGGUAACGACCCCAGUUUUCAAAAAAAUCCAAAAAAUAUUUUCCUUUAUUCCUUCUUUAGAAAAUUCAACAAAAAUAAAAAAAACAAAUUCUUUUCCUUGUUUAAAAGUCUUUUUCGUAAAUGUCAAAAGAAUUAUUGAAAAAUUGAAGUCCAAAAAUAUUUUCAAUUUUCUUUAGAAGUACUUUUGUAAAUAAAUAAAAACUUAUAAAUCCAAAAUAUUUCUUAAAAGUCCCUAUUUUGAAAAUUAAGAGGAAAUAUCCAAAAUCCAAAAAUAUUUUAAUUCUUCCGUAGAAAAAGGUAAAACAAAUCAAAAUUCAAAAAAAAAAAUUCUUUUACUUUUGAAAUUCGCAAGUUCAAAUCAAGAGCAAAUGAAUUUUUAGAAGUCUUUCUUUCAAAAAAGCAAAACAAAAAUCAAAAUAAAAAAUAAUAUACAUAUACAUAUAUAUAUAUAUAUAUAUAAAAUUCAUUUCCUCGUUUAAAGCAUUUCUUUCAAAAAUUCCAACAAAAAGAAGAGGUAAUUUAUUUGCUCUAUUCUAAAUCUUUCUGAACUACGCUGGUUUGAUUCUCACAGGGUGUGUGAUACGUAGGCAAUCCUCAUCGGGUCCAACCUUCCCUUUGUAAAAAUAGCCAAAAAUAUCAAAAUUUUAAUUUCGUCAUGAAUAAGUCGGGUGAUGUCAUUCUUGUCAAAAAUAAGCCGAAUGUCCCCAAGAGGGCGCCAGAAGGCUAUUUUUGCAAGAACAACCACCCUGAGUCAUCUUUAAAUGGUUUGCGGGCACAACCUUAAAAUCGUCCUCCUGGAAGUGCUGAAAGGCCGUAUCUGCAAAACCAAGUCCCUGAAUAAAGAAAAUUUUGGAAAAAUAGUCACUUUUCCUUUUAGAUCAAAUAAAUUAUUAAAAGUACUCCUUAUAUGUCUUUCGUAAAUAGAAAAUAAAAGAAAAUACACAAAUUUUGAAAAGGAAAUUUUGAAGUCUUUCUUUCAAAUAAAAAUAAAAAUCAAAAAUCAAAAUCAAAAAUAUUUUCCUUAAAGCAUUUCUUUCAAAAUUCCAAAAAAAAGAGUUAGCUUAUUUACCUUAUUUACAUGAAAUACUCUUGGUCUGAUUCGUGCGGGUCGCGAUACGUAGGCAAUCCUCAUCGGAUUCGAUCGUAGCCAUAAGAAAAAAACUAAAAGAGAUGGAAGAAAAUAAAGGAAAAAUAAAAGAAGCAAAGAGCAGAAGAAAAUCAAGGAAAAACCAUGGCAAAAGAAAUGGAAAGCAGAAAAUGAGAAAAACAUAAGGAGAAAAACAAAAUGAGAGAAACAAAAAAAAAGAAGAGAAAAACAAGCAAGGAAAACAAAAGAAAAGCUUGGAUGAUGCAUGCUGCCGUUGGAAUUUGUCACAAGACUAACCGUCUGUUGUUGUAAUUUCAAAGUCCAGGUUUAUAAGAAACAGGUGGUUGGUUUUGUGGUAAACUGGCUUCGCACCACUAUUUCACCAGGUCUAAAGGUAGUACAAAGAUGUCGUCAGAAAUGACCCUACCAACAAUCUCUAUUUCAAAUGACAGGUAUCCCGGCCUUUGAAUCCUCUGCAGCUGUAGAGAAUAGAAUCAUGAGUCUGAGGGUGAUGGGCCAACAAUCUCUGUUUCAGAUGACAACUCGCUCUCUGGUAUACCGGCCUCUGAGUCCUCUGCACCUGAAGAGAAUAGAAUCUUGCGUCUGAUGGUGAUGGAGAUGUGGGACGCAUGGACAAACAGAAAAGAACCCCCGAACGGCAUCCUUGGAUUUCCCGAGUUGCUCCCAAGGCUAGCAGGUACCUCCAAUGUUCCAAUCAGUCACCCGAACAACACAUUGGGACAGCCUACUAUAUCUACUCACUAUGUGGGAGGCACUUGUGAGGUUCGCCCCCAAUUAUUCAUGUCCGGGACGGCUCCGAACAUCUUUAUGGUUCCGCUAUGCUCUGCCACAGUACAACCUUCAUUGCCAAAGCCUGCUUCUGAACCUUGGGUGUUUACUUUCCAGAAUCCUGUCUUUCAGGCAGAUCCUCCAUACCCCGAAUAUGCUUACCUCCAUCCUCCAUCAUAUGAGAUUACACCGGGGCAGGAUAAAACUCCCAAAGCUCCUGAACAAGAUGAAAUGGUGAGAAGAAUGAGGAGCCUCGAGCAGAGCUUUAAAGUAUACGAGGCUUAAGCGGGCAGAAGAGUGUCUCCUAUACUAAUCUGUGCAUGUUCCCUCACGUGCACCUGCCCAUGGGAUUCAAAACACCAAAGUUUGACAAAUAUGAUGGGCAUGGAGAUCCCAUUGCUCACCUUAAAAAGUAUUGCAAUCAAUUGCGUGGAGCCGGCGGAAAAGAAGAGUUGUUAAUGGCUUACUUCGGCGAAAGCUUGGUGGGCAUAGCUUCAGAGUGGUAUAUGGAUCAGGACACAUCUCGAUGGCACAUUUGGGAUGAUCUUGCCAGAGAUUUUGUUUGACAAUUUCAAUAAAACAUUGACAUCGCACCAGACCGGAAUUCUUUGUCAAACUUGAAAAUGAAACUCUCAGAAAGCUUCAGAGAAUAUGCUAUUAAAUGGCGCGAGCAAGCAUCAAGGGUGAAGCCUCCAAUGGAUGAAAUAUAAAUGGUCACUGUCUUCCUCCAGGUUUAGGAACCAGAUUACUUCCAAAGAAUGAUGUUGUCCAUGGGCAAGCCUUUUGCGGAGGCCAUUAAAAUUGGUGAAAUGGUAGAACAUGGUUUGAAUACGGGUAGAAUUUUAAGAAAUGGUCACUGUCUUCCUACAGGCUCAGGAAGCAGAUUACUUCCAAAACAUGAUGUCGUCCAUGGGCAAGCGUUUUGCAGAGGCCAUCAAAAUUGGUGACAUAAUAGAACACGGUUUGAAAACGGGUAGAAUCUUGAGUUAGUCAGCCAUCAGAGAAACCUCCCAAGCCAUUCAAGGUGGGUCUGAAGGAAUGGCAAAAAAUAGAAUAAGAGAAGAAACAACCAUGGUGACAUCAGGGGAAAGAAGAUGCCGGGCUCCUAGACCUGUGUUUUCCAAAAGAACCCCUCAACACUACUAUCCUCAUUCCAAUAUGGUCUAUGCACCACCAACUUAUGCGGUCAUGAACGCUCAACCUUUUGCCCGACCGCAACCAUGGGCUAAUAUAAACCAACCUCCAUUCCAAAGAAACCAGCCUUCUCACCAGAACCACUAUAAUCCCCGACUUCCCCAUAAUAACUUCCGUCCCCGGGAACCACCCAGGAGACCCAACUAUACACCAAUCGAUGAACCAUACUCCACACGUUCCCUAAGCUUGUCCAGAUGAAUUUGCUGCAACCCAUACCUCCAAAUGGGCAAAAUUUGGAAUCGCCAUCAUAUCACCGGGGUGUCAGAUGUGCCUAUCAUUCAGGGGUUGAAAGUCACGAUACAAAUGACUGUUGGACUCUGAAACAAGCGGUGGAGAAUUUAAUAGAGCAAGAGAGAAUCAUGUUGAAGGAUGAGGAUGUCCCAAAUGUGACCAAUAAUCCGCUGCCCGCUCACAAUAACGGGCCAUUAAUUGGGAUAAUUUAUGAGGACAAAUAAUUUGAUCUGGCGCUUAAGGCCAUAAUUUCUGUUGCCGAUGAAGAAAAGAAACCCGGGUCAGCCUCGAAAUAAGAGAAAAGAGAAAAGAAGAGUAAUAUCACCGAGACAAAACCGUAAAAGGAAAUUGAUGUACCCAAGAAAGCCUAUGUGGUAUGGGGGACAAUCAAACCAUCUCGGCUGAAUGAGCCAGUUGUUAUUGGGCACAUACCACAGAAGCCAAAGUACAGCAAAGAGGAAGAUGAUGAGGGUUUUAUGGCUGUAGAGAGUGAGGGAAUACAUGAGGCAAUGAGGAAAAUGCUCUGCAAAACCCACAUGGUCCAGCUAGGAGAAGGCACUAGCACUGCUGAGGUGUUAUACAUGGGACCAAGAGCCAAGCUGCAAAACUGGAAAGCUACGCCAAUUCCUGGUCAGACGGGAGUCCUAGUAGACUUGUCCUGCCACUUUUUCUGCAUCGCAAGUCAUUCCAGGUGUGACUCAGAUGUUUUCUUUAGUUUCCUGUCUUUAAAUUCCUGAAUGUCUAACCCUGUUAUCUUCCCAAAUUCCAAGAAAUGAAAUAAAUAGUUCAUUUUUCAUUUUCUUUAUUUUUCAGAGUUUUCUAUGUUUUUUUUUCUUUCUCUAAUAAUGCAGCUUUAAAUAACAUGACAUGCUUGCGGACUUCAUGCCCAGAUCCCAAGAACUCUGUCAGACUUUUAAAUAAUGAAUCAAAAGUUGAAGUAUAAAGAAAUUAAAUUUGAGAAAAUAAAAGAAAAGAAUCGGAACAACAAAGGACAAAUGGUUUGUGGUUUGGGAAAGGUCCAUCACUGAAGUAGAGUUUGAGGGCAGUAAGUGGGUCUAGACUCGUAUGGAAUGUUGGCCUUAAUUGAAAUGGAUGACUGCAAUGUGUCACGGGCAGUUGUAUCAACAAAGCAUGGCCCGCGCUUAAAUAAGUAAGCACGACCCAGUAAUUUUGAAGUAGGACAAUUGGUGUUAAGGUGCAAUCUUCCUCAUCACCAGGAAGCAAAAGGAAAGUUUGCUCCUAAUCAGAAUGGUCCAUACAUCAUUGGAAAUACUGCCAAGGGGAGCAUUGUAUCUGGUGACAUCGGAAACAAAUGACCCCGAAGCAGUUGUGAACGCGAAUGCAGUAAAAAGGUAAUAUAGCAUUGUAUCUGGUGACAUCGGAAAGAAAUGACCCCGAAGCAGUUGUGAGCGCGGAUGCACUAAAAAGGUAUUAUGUCUAAACUUGCUCCUGCGAUGUCUUUGCACAGUUGAGAUGACGAAGGCUUUCAUUCCCGCUAUCCAAAUACCAUCAAUCCUUCGUAAACCCUUUGAGCCGGUUACCUUUCUUUGAUUACCCUCUUUGGAACCCGGAAGUGCUAUUUAAAAAAAAGAAAGAAAAGAAAAGAAAAGAAACAUAAGUAAAAAAAAGAAAAGAAAAAGAAGAAAAGAAAAGAAAACAAAACCGAAACAAAAACAAAAAAAAAGUAUUUUUUUGAACUACGUCUGACUUGAUUCCGAAAGGAUACGUAGGCAGCCUCUCCCUGAGCUUCAGUCACACCAAAACAAAAAUCCCAAUUCCUUCAAAAAGUGAAACUGGGGCAGAUAAUAUAAUGGUUUGGCCAUGAGACCGCCGAAAUGGUUCCAAAGUUGUAGUUCCGCCCAAAAUCCUUUUACCCCGAAGACCUUGUCCAAGUCCUUCUGAUCAAUUGGCAAAGAUAGGAAAGUGGAAAACAUCAUUGUUGAAAUUUGAUUUAAGUCAAAUAGAGAGAAAUAAAAUGAGAGAGCCUUGUCGGUGAAAACCUUCGGGCACCAUAAGGCGACGGUGAGUAAAGAAAACAAAAAUGAGACAGUCUGCUUAGCGAAAACUCGCAAAGAGCGCUAUGGGGAAACUGUGAGAAGAGAAAUGAGAGAGGUCGAAUGGUAGAAAACCCGCAAAGGGCAUUGUCGGCCAAAAAAAGGUCAUCUCACCACUAAAAGAGUCCUGGAAAGGUUCCUGGUUUUGAAAUGUUGAAAUGUGGUUCGCAAGAAGCUGGAAUGUUUGUGUGGAUCGAGCGUCCAGUCAAAGAAGCAUGUCAUGUUCAUUUGAAGUCAGCAUGCACCCUAGAUAAGUCCUUCUUUUCCCCCGAAAGGGACACUUUUAUUUUAAAAUCAUUGUUCCAUUCUUUAUUUACUUUUCCUUGAAUCUCUUUCGGCUUGACUUUGUAUUCUGAAACUAUUAUAAAGAAAAGGUGGCAGGACCGGUUUCACAAGGCUCCGCCGGCAAGAAUCAAAGGAAAUACCCAGCAUCAGUGGUGUGUCAGUCAAAUCCCGACUGACCAUGGUGGUCGGUUGCUUCCAAAGUAAAAGACAUUAGAAAGAAAAAGAAAAUCAAAGGCAAAGGUCUUCAAAGCAGAAUAAAGUAAAUGGACAGAGCCCAUAUGGGCGAGUCAUCAUGAAAUCCUAAGGCUUAACCCGGUCAGUGUGAAAGAAAGUCACCCUCAAAGAAAACAAGCAGAAAAUUUCUCUAGUGGAAAUGGGGCUGGGAUCAAGCGAUGGAGAUGAUCAAGGCCACAAAACCAACCAACGUUUCAACUAACAAAUUGUUCUUUGUUGAAAACAUGUCUUAUUCAAAACACUUGUGCAAGAAGAAGGUGCAGCCCAAAAAAAAUGGAAUGCGCAAGUGUUGAAAUAGCUCUGCAGCAGGAAAAACGACCAAAAAGGAAGCUUUCUCAAACAUUCUUUCAUGCAUGCGAAUAACAUCUAAAAAGAAACCCAAAAAGGAAGAAGGUAAGAAAUGGAAAACGAAAAUCCCAAAAGAGAAUCAAAUUAUGGUAGUCAUAGCUUUUCCUAUCCAAAUUCCGGCCAAAGAACCGCGGAGCUUUUUCUAUUCAAAAUCCCGGCCACAAACCGAGGAUCUCCCGGCAAAAUAUCGUGGAGCUUUUUCGAUAUAAAUAUCCCGGCCAAAAAAUCCUGGAGCUUUUCUAUCCAAAUUCCAGCCAAAAACCGAGGAUCUCCCGGCCAAAACCAUGGAGCUUUUUCUGUCUAAAUCCCGGCAUAACCCGUGGAUUUCCUUGGCAUAACCCAAGGAUCUUUUUCUUUUCAAAUCCCAGCAUAACCCGUGGAUCUCCCUAGCAUAACCUUAGGAGAUUUUUCUUUUCAAAUCACAGCAGAACCCCUGGAUCUCCCUAACAUAAUCCAAGGAGCCUUUUCUUUCCAAAUCCCGACAUAACCCAUGGACCUUUUCCGGCAUAACCCGAUGAUUUUUCUGGCAUAACCCGUGGACCUUCCGGCAUAACCCGAUGACUUUUCCGGCAUAAUCCAUGGACCUUUUUCGGCAUAACCCGAUGACUUCCCCGGCAUAACCCGAGGACCCCUCUCUCUUUUCUGGCGUAACCCGGCCAUUUCCAGCAUAACCUAGAUUCAUUAACAAAGAUACACAAUCCUGAUUUGACUGCUUAGAUAUGUGUCACAACUAACUUACGAAAUUUUCCUAGCAAAAACUGGGGCAGAAAAUUUCGUUCAUUUGCUUGUUUUGGUAUCUUAGGCAGGUUGACCUCAAAGUACAAGGUACGAGAUGACCUAAGGAAUGAGUCUCAAUCCAAAAGAAGAAAAUAACAAAAAAGAAAUGAGCUCAAAUAUUGAAGAGAACAAAGAAAGAGACAAGCAGAGACAACUUGCGAGCAUCAAAAUUCAGAUUGAGUCUACAGCAAGAACCAGCUAAGACUCAAGAUUAAUCUUCAAAAGACUCAUAUAUAGGAAUCUUGCAACUCGUAGUUGAUGGGAUUAGUUAGUCUUUUGUCAUUUUUGAUUUGAUUUAAUAACGGGACCGCGGACCGGAACCUCAGCGGAAUGGCACCUCGACCGGCUCCCCACCUCGGUAUUCGAUCACCUCGCGCACUUCUGAACUACACCUGACCUGAUUCCUUUAUAGCCAAGGAUAUAUAGGCAACCUUUGAAGAAAGGUUCGGUCAGACACGUUUUCAAAAAAUGCUUCUCAUGGAGUUUCAAAUGGGCAAAAAUCCCUCACAGUGCUUACUUUAUCUUUCCCCGAAAACUCUUUGUGUUUCCGAGCAAAGAGGGGCAGCUAUAAGCAUGUGAUUUUUGACCUGCAUGAAGAUAACUCCUAAAAAUAAACCAAAAAAUAUUUUCAAUGGAUUUUAAAAGUUUUUCUUUAUUUAGUUGCAUUUCAUGCAUUUUUAAAAUUUUAAAAUCAUAAAAAAAUCACAAAAAUGUCACGUUUUAAUUUUAUGUAACCUUAGUUCCAAUUUUCAUAUAUGAAUUAAUUUAAUUAAGAAAAACAAAAAUGGUCAUCUUUAGCUUUUAAUCUUUAAAACUAGCAUUUUUCUUUAAUUUUAAGUUAAUUAGUUGUUUUAAUUUCUACAAAAAAUAAUUUAGGAUUUUAAUUAAUUAAUGAAAAGAAAAAGGAAAAAAAAAUAAUAUAUUUUUAGUCUUGUUUCUUCCAACUAAUUUUUAAGACCCAAAUCCCCUCAAGUCCAUUAGCCCAUCCUAAAACCCUAGAAUAAAAACUAUAUAAUAGAACCUAGACCUACUCACACAUGUACACAAAAAGACCAAGACCUACACCCUUUAUAGAGAGACGCAACCUCGUCCCCUUUUGUCGUCGUCUCCAUCAACGUACUCGAACCCUUUCCUUCUCGCUCUUCAGCUUCUUCAAUACACACACAUCAGAUCCCUUCCCCAUUCGAGAGUGAGCGCAGCUUUUUUCUCUUUCUUCAACCUUCUUCUUCAAAGAAAUGAAGCAGCUGUUACACUCACACACAGCCUCAACAAGGGAGAACGAACAGCCCUAGCAACCUUUGAUCUUCAUCUUCAAAUUUUCGAUUUUCAAACAAAGUUUUCUUCUUCUUUUUACCGUUUUUGAAUUUCAAUUUUAAUUUGAGGUUGGCUCAGAUUUCAGGAAAAAAACGCCAAAGUAGCUCGAGUUUCUCUUCUUAUUCGAUUCUGGUUUCACAAAUGGAUUUCGUGAGAGACCCGUUUGGAGCUGACGAGCUUGGGUGCCGCUCAAGGUUUAACUUCGGAAUUCCUAUCCGAAUUUGCUGCUGUUUUCUCGGACAGGUUUUGUGGAUUGGGAGUUUGUAUCUAUUGAUUCUCAAAACCUUAAUAGAAUUUUGGGACUUAAUAGGUUUAUUCUUCCCCUUUCUUACUUCUACUUUUAGCAUUAAUUUUCAAUAUAAUUUGGAGAAUGGUAUUAUCCUCUGGUUCAAUAAUUGGUUUCCUAUUUGAGAUUGGUCGACUCUUUUGUAUUUUGAUUUAGCUGCCUUCGUAGGAAUUAUCUUUGCUAUAUUGAGUAGCUCAUGGAUAUUGUAGAGGUAUUAUCCUCAAAGCUGAAAGUUGGCUUAGUUUAUGAUUCUCAUGCCUGAUGCUUUACCAUAGUCCCUUAUUUCAACAACAACAACAACUACCCAGUAUAUUCUUAUCAGGAGGGGUGUGGGGAGGAUAAUAUGUACGCAGAUCUUAUCCAUACCAGAAAGGGUGGAGAGACUGUUU